UACGUAGGGGGCUAGCGUUGUCCGGAAUCAUUGGGCGUAAAGAGCGUGUAGGCGGCCCGGUAAGUCCGCUGUAAAAGUCAAAGGCUCAACCUUUGAAUGUCAGUGGAUACUGCCGGGCUAGAGUCCGGAAGAGGCGAGUGGAACUCCUGGCGUAGCGGUGGAAUGCGCAGAUAUCAGGAGGAACACCGGUGGCGAAGGCGGGUCUCUGGGCAGUAACUGACACUGAGGAGCGAAAGCGUGGGGAGCGAACAGG
rnacentral:rRNA from 1 species